AAACCACUCUGAGUGGAGAACAGCAUUUUAAACAACAAUAUUUAUCUGAGAAAAGGAGUCAUCAGAGAGAAGAAUCUGACGACUUAGAACCUGAACCCAGCUGUGUGUCUAUGAAGAGUGAUCAAUCAAAAGAUGACAUCAUUGACUUUAAAAGACAAGAACCCUCAACUGUGAAGAGGAAGCAGCAGAAACCUGAACCCAGCUGUGUGUCUAUGAAGAGUGAUCGAUCAAAAGAUGCCAUCAUUGACUUUAAAAGACAAGAACCCUCAACUGUGAAGAGGAAGCAGCAGAAACCUGAACCCAGC